AGUACUUCCUCAGUUACAUUAGCUGCAUUUCCAAUUUUAUUUUUAUUAUUUGUUAUUAUUAUUAUUAUUUUUGGCUGUGCACGUGGCAUGCAGAAGUUCCCAGGCCAGGGAUCGAAUUCACACCACAGCAGUGACAAUGCCAGAUGCUUAACUGCUAGGCCACCAGGGAAUUCCUAUAAUUUGGUAUUCUCUUCCUCAAAGAGACCCUCAAUAUUUUAUUAACUUCAGAGUCUAUAAAACUGGUUGGAAAGACCAUAUCUUGUGCCUCUUUGAAUCCUUUUAAACUUGGUUUAGUAAUGCUGAUCAUCAUAAUGAUGAUGAUUCUGAGACUUACAGAGCAUUUACAAGGCAUUCUCAGUCAUCUCAUUGGAUCCUUACAAACUAAAAGUUAGGCAUGGCCAUUGCCACUUUUACAGAUGACAAAACUGACUGCAGAGACACAAAGUGAUUUUUGCCUAAGGCCACCUAGCUAGUAAGUGACGGAGCCAGAGCUGAAGCUCAAGACUAUGGAUUCCAGAUGUCAUGCUUCCUCCUCUUAGAUUUUUGCUGCCUGUGGGUUCUGAAAGCCUUUCCAGCACUUACGGGAGGAUGCUCCUCCCCACCCCACCCCAUGCAGACCCAUUCGAAGAGCACUCCAUCUCCAUCCAACAAUUAUCUAAGUUGAAGUCGUCCAUCCUGCAUUUUUAAGUUAUUUUCCAGAUAAUGAACAUUUUUAACCAAUACAGGGUGCCCGAUACUAAUCACACAGAGCAAUCCGUAGGUGUAGGAAUUGCAUUUACCUUCCAAGCCCUAAUUAUGUUCAUUUCUUUGGGAGAACUUCUUCAACUGCCUGUCUUCAAGAGACUCUUAAAGCUCCCAAGAAAUUGCUAAGUGAUACUAGGAAUACACUUGCCUGAAUCUAGAGAUUUUGGGUAAGUAGCCUCUAAUUUAUCAUUUUACAUUACAGAAAGCCUGGAGAAUUAUAUAAAAGCCUUUGGCUUUUGCAUCUGUAUGUAAAAAUAUUCCCAAACUAGAGGAGCCCUCGAUCAUUAAUGAUGUCUAAACACUGACCCUGGAGAAAUCACUGUGUGUCUAGUCAUUCCCAAGGACAUGCCAGCUGUAAAAGCCAUGCAAGGAAGUACCUCCACCAGCAGGCCCUUGUCUUCUUUCCCAGACUUAAGCUGUCAGUGGAAAAGAGGUAAAGAGAGACAGAAGUUGAGAACUCAGUCUCUGGAGUCGGGCCAGGCUGGGUGUGACCCUAGCUCCACCCCUUACCAGCUGUGGGGCUUAUGCAUAUCGCUUAACUUCAUUCAUCGAUUCCACAAAUAGUUGCUCAGUGAGCACCUACUAAAUGCCAGCUGACCAUUGUAGGUACUGAGACAAAGGAGUGAAAAAACAAAACUAUUGGAGUUCCUGAUGUGGCACAAAGGAACAUCAGUGGUGUCUUGGGAGCGCUGUGACUCAGGUUUAAUUCCAGAUAGGCACAGUGGGUUAAGAAUCAGGCAUUGCUGCAGCUCAAUAUUUAGCCUCGAUUUUAGAUUUUAAAAACAUUUGGUAUUGCUUGUUUAUAUUUUGAGCCACUCCAAAACCCUGCUUUUUAGAAAAUUCUUGAGUGAUUUCCCUCAGUGGGGCAUGUAUGAGAAACAGUCUCUGGAGCUUUGGGCCACAUGGACGGGAACUGUGAGGGCAACGGGAGAGUUACGUCCACUUGGUGAACACAGCCAUGGUCAUGAUCAGAACUUGCUCAGGUGGCCUUUGCACAGAUAUUCAUAGAAGAGCUUCCUUUUCGGUUUUAUUCUGAAGGGAUUCUGCUGAUACUAUUUUUACCACUGGAAUUUCUGUCUGCCCAGAACACAAUUUUAAAGUUUCAAAUGAAACAUUUACCUGAAUUCCUGACAUUACAGCUCACAUUCAUUUCCUUUCCUCUUGCCCUCCAGGUCUCAGCAGUGAGAUGGCCCAACCAAGAAAGAGAUCCCCCCCCCACUCCUGCUCAGAUCUGAUACCUGGGCUUUUCCUUGGGCCUCUCUGGGAUGUACCAAAACCCAAAGCCCAUGUACUGGCCAACCCUCCUUGGUACAGACACCAGGUCCAGAAUCACUCUGUCUUUGACAGUCAAGUGCACUGUCCUUUUCUCCUGCUCCUAAAGGAUCACACUAUCCUUCCUUGGUCUUUUUGUCAUUGAGAAUCCAUUUCCCAUUGGGAUCUGGAGUUCACUUCCUUGCUUCAAAUUUUUGAGAUGGGUUGAAACAAUAAGUAAGGUCAAAUUGUAUGAAAUUGCCAAAUAUCAGCUAUUUUUUUUUUUUUUUUAACCUAAAGGAAGGAAGGAGGGGAGGAAGAAAAGCUUAAAGAAGCCAGGGCUGGAAAUAGGUAACUACUCAUCUAUUCUGCUCUUUAAUGAUAAUUGUAGUUGAUGGAAUGUUUCCUCUUUAUGAAGUACUGGGCCAAGCAAAAUUUUACAUACAUCAUCUCAGUCAUUGUAGCAAGUGCAUGAAGUCCAGCUCCCUCUAUCAUCUCAUUCAAUUUCCAGUUUAAGGAUGCAAAACUGAGGGUCAGAGUUGUCAAGAGUCUUUCCCAAGGUCCUUCAACUCUAACCAGAGAAGCCAAGAGCUAUAUGCUAUAUCUUCUAUGUGACAAGGAUGGAUUACAAAUCAUUAAUCUCAAUAACUUCCACUACCUUCUUGUAAUCACCUAUGUUGUCAUUAUUAUAAGAGUAAUAGUGUUCAAUAUAGGAAAUCUGAAAAUUGUAUAACAUAUGACAGAAAAAAAUUAAAAAUGCAUAAAUCAAAGAUAAGUUCUACUAAUAUUCUGGAGUCUCUCUCAUUCUGUUUUUCUGAUUUAUUCUGCUUUUUAACAAAUUUGGAAUUGUCCUGUUUAUAUUGCUUUGUACCCUGCCUUAAAAAAAUAAAUACUAUGUCAUGAGUAUUAUUCCAAAUCAUUAAAAAUUCUCCAAAAAAGUGUUUGGUCGCAUUAUAUUGAUAUAUAAGUACUAUAACAUUAAUUGUUCAAUUGUUUUCUUCUUGUUGGAAAAGAAGUUCAUGUAUUUUGCUGUUAUAUGAUAAAGAUCCUUGAACAAAAGUCUCUGUUUUUAGUCCCCAGUGGCAGCCAAGUUUGUCUUAGAGAUGAUCUCCUUCUGAAAAAUGUCAUCAGUUACAUUUUCUGGUUGUUUAGUCACAAUGGAGUUGAUACAGCACACCUGCUGGGAGCUGACACAGCUGUGCCUGUGGUGUGAGGGCCAGGCCAAAGGCCAACAACGGGCAGAGUGGCUGGACCUGCAGCCACUGCCCACUCGGUGCUGCUCUGGGCUCAGCCUGGUGAGGACUUCCUGGGGGAAGUGGGAGGAGCAGAGUGGCGGAAGCAGGGAGAGCGCAAGUGUGGCUACUGUCCUGCACCCCUGAGAGCUCACCAGCGGCACAGAGCAGCUCACCUUGGUCCAGCCUUGGCACGUAGGGUGGCACCUAUCAUGUGGCUUGGGACACUGCACGUGUCCUCAGGCCUUCCUUCUGCAGCACACUUUCUAACCACCACAAACAAAACAGAGGACAGUGAGCAAAACACUUCCUUUUAGUUCCUCUUACCUUCCUUCAAUCCCCAAACCUACUUGUAAGUGGUCAAACUCACUUUCCCCACUCAGAGAAGAAAGGAGGGGGCUGACUUCUUUCACUGGGGACAGGGAGAAGAAAGGAAAGGGAAGAAGGCAGAAACAUAGCCAUUAGACUACAUUACCAGUUUCAUCUCUGGCUUCAUGCUUUCUUUCCUAAAGACUCACAUUUUGUAAUAUUUUAAAGCACUUAACUCAGUAAGAUUUAUUGAAUGUGUACUAUGUGCAAAGCACUGUGUUUAAGGCAGUGGAGAAUGGAAAUGGCCAAGGCCUAUCUUAAAAAAAAAAAAAAAAAAA
rnacentral:lncRNA from 1 species